CUGUACAUAAAAAGUGUGGAUAAGCCUGGACAACAUAGUGAGACUACAUGUCUACAAAAAAUAAAAAUUAAAAAAACUAAAUUAGCUGGGCAUGGUGGCACACACCUGUAGUCCUAGCUAUGCAGGAGGCUGAGGCGAGAGGAUUGCUUGAGCCCAGGAGGUUGAGGCUGCAGUGAGCCGUGAUCGCACCACUGUACUCCAGCCUGGGCAAUAAAUUGAGACCGUGUCUCAAAAAAAAAAAAGCAUAUAUAGGCCUGGCACAUAUAUAGGCAUUCAGCAUAACAGCUAGUAAACGUCAG
rnacentral:lncRNA from 1 species